ACAGUCAGCCAAUCAGAUGCUCGAAAUCGAUUAGCAUAUCAUAUAUUCCCUCUGUCUACAAAAAAUAAUCAAUUUUUGCCAUUUUAAAACGUCCACAAAAGUUAAUCCAUGUUCAUAUUUGGAUACUACCCUCUUCUCCAUUCACAAUACUCUUCUUCAUUACAAUACAAUUAAUUAUCAUUAUUAACAAUAUUUUAAGUGAGAUUAUUUCUCCACUUACAAUACACUAAUCAUUUUUAUUAAAAUUUGUGUCGUUCCUUUUUAGACUAACAUAUUGAUUAAAAUUAAAA
rnacentral:lncRNA from 1 species